rnacentral:rRNA from 1 species
CACGUAGGGUGCGAGCGUUGUCCGGAAUUAUUGGGCGUAAAGAGCUCGUAGGCGGUGUGUCGCGUCGGCCGUGAAAACCUGCAGCUUAACUGUGGGCUUGCGGUCGAUACGGGCAUCACUGGAGUUCGGCAGGGGAGACUGGAAUUCCUGGUGAUAGCGGUGAAAUGCGCAAAUAUCAGGAGGAACGACCGGUGGCGAAGGCGGGUCUCUGGGCCGAUACUGACGCUGAGGAGCGAAAGCGUGGGGAGCAAACAGG